UACGAAGGGGGCUAGCGUUGCUCGGAAUCACUGGGCGUAAAGGGUGCGUAGGCGGGUCUUUAAGUCAGGGAUGAAAUCCUGGAGCUCAACUCCAGAACUGCCUUUGAUACUGGCGAUCUUGAGUCCGGGAGAGGUGAGUGGAACUGCGAGUGUAGAGGUGAAAUUCGUAGAUAUUCGCAAGAACACCAGUGGCGAAGGCGGCUCACUGGCCCGGUACUGACGCUGAGGUGCGAAAGCGUGGGGAGCAAACAGG
rnacentral:rRNA from 1 species